GACGAACGCUGGCGGCGUGCUUAACACAUGCAAGUCGAACGGAAAGGCCCUGCUUUUGUGGGGUGCUCGAGUGGCGAACGGGUGAGUAACACGUGAGUAACCUGCCCUUGACUUUGGGAUAACUUCAGGAAACUGGGGCUAAUACCGGAUAGGAGCUCCUGCUGCAUGGUGGGGGUUGGAAAGUUUCGGCGGUUGGGGAUGGACUCGCGGCUUAUCAGCUUGUUGGUGGGGUAGUGGCUUACCAAGGCUUUGACGGGUAGCCGGCCUGAGAGGGUGACCGGACACAUUGGGACUGAGGUACGGCCGGGACGCCUACGGGAGGCAGCAGUGGGGGAUAUUGCACAAGGGGCGGAGGCCUGAGGCAGCAACGCCGCGGGCGGGAUGAGGGCCGUCGGGUGGGAAACCGCGGGCGCCGGUGACGAAGCGUGAGGGACGGUAAUGGGUAAAGAAGCACCGGCUAACUACAUG
rnacentral:rRNA from 1 species